rnacentral:rRNA from 1 species
UACGGAGGAUCCGAGCGUUAUCCGGAUUUAUUGGGUUUAAAGGGAGCGUAGGUGGAUUGUUAAGUCAGUUGUGAAAGUUUGCGGCUCAACCGUAAAAUUGCAGUUGAAACUGGCAGUCUUGAGUACAGUAGAGGUGGGCGGAAUUCGUGGUGUAGCGGUGAAAUGCUUAGAUAUCACGAAGAACUCCGAUUGCGAAGGCGGCUUACUGGACGAUGACUGACGCUGAGGCUCGAAAGCGUGGGGAGCAAACAGG